AACUUAAAAUUAAUUUAUAAAGAUUAAUCUUUUUUUAGAA
rnacentral:tRNA from 1 species